CCUACGGGAGGCAGCAGUGAGGAAUAUUGGUCAAUGGCCGUAAGGCUGAACCAGCCAAGUCGCGUGAAGGAAGAAGGAUCUAUGGUUUGUAAACUUCUUUUAUAGGGGAAUAAAGGUAUCCACGUGUGGAUCUUUGCAUGUACCCUAUGAAUAAGCAUCGGCUAACUCCGUGCCAGCAGCCGCGGUAAUACGGAGGAUGCGAGCGUUAUCCGGAUUUAUUGGGUUUAAAGGGUGCGUAGGUUGUUUUUUAAGUCAGCGGUGAAAGUUGGUGGCUCAACCAUAAAAUUGCCGUUGAAACUGGAAGACUUGAGGGUGUUUGAGGUAGGCGGAAUGCGUGGUGUAGCGGUGAAAUGCAAAGAUAUCACGCAGAACUCCGAUUGCGAAGGCAGCUUACUAAGCCAUAACUGACACUGAAGCACGAAAGCGUGGGGAUCAAACAGGAUUAGAUACCCUUGUAGUC
rnacentral:rRNA from 1 species